UGCCAUGGACUGUGUGAGCGGGGACGUGCCCUGGAGGAAGAGCAGGGGUGAAGGAGCUCCAGAAAGAGCAUUAAGGCCUCACUGCUGCUUCGAGACCCGCUGCAGACUGGGCAGGCCCUUGUGAGGAGGAUGGACCACAGCCAGGGUCCUGCACCUGACAGGCCCUGGUGCAAUCCCCCCUUGCUUAUUCAUUCACUUAUUUAUUCGUCAAACAUUCACAGAACGGCCAUGAUGGGCUCUGUGCGGAUUAAACACUGAAGAUAAUGCUGAACAAAAAGACCUACUUCUGCCUUCACCGGCCUUGGGAUCGAAGGAGACGGCUCGUAACCCUUCACCACAGACAAACACCCAGUUAUACAUUAAGAACAAGAGGGGAGAUGGGUUCUCUGUGGACCAGCCUGAGGCUUAGAAAUUGGCCACUCUUAAGGAGGGACGUAAGUCGGUCCCAGCCUGGGGAAGGGGAGAGGGUCAGGAGAGAGCUUGACUUGUUUAAAAUGACACCAAGGGAGUAUUUGAGGAGCGACAGUGACUUCAUCAGAGCCACUGCUCAGGGUCAAUACUAGCUUUGUGACCCUGGGCCCGACUUAACCUCUCAAGCCUCAGGUUGAUUAUAUAUAAAACAGGAGUGAUAAUAUUCUUAUGUCAAAAGCUGCCGUGAUGUAAGGAUUAGUGAAAUGAUGUUUAUAAAGCACUCAGCACAGUGCCUGGCUAAGGGCGAGUACUAUUAUGAUUUUAAGAGGAUUCUUUAGUCCAAAGAUGUGUGCAGGGUAGCGAGCUUUCUCCUCACCGAAAGGGUAGCGCCGGGGCUCCUUUGGAACGCAGUGCCCAGGGAGUGUUGCCGAGGAGAUCAGGACCUCUGAGAGAGCAGGGGUGGUCCCUGCCCAGAUCCUCCUGGUCUCCUGGGGCUUGCACGGUGCCUGGUGUGCACACUCACACCUCCUGCCUGGAAGAAUGGACACACAGGGCAACGGGGCACCGUCUCCUCCGCCUGCCUGCCGGGCACCGCACUGGAUCUUACAGGUGCCUUCAGCUCCUAGAGCCUAGACCCUACACACAUCCACGCUGGGGGAACCCACGGGAGUUUCAGACUGGGGCUGCCCUUUGCCCUUCUUAGCUCAGCGGUGUGGUGUGUGUGUGUGUGUGUGUGUGUGUGUGUGUGUGUGUGUGUGUAGGUGUGUGUGUGUGUGUGUGUAGGGGUGUGUGUGUGUGUGUGUAGGUGUGUGUGUGUGUGUGUGUGUGUAGGGGUGUGUGUGUGUGUGUGUGUGUGUGUGUGUGUGUAGGUGUGUGUGUGUGGGCUGGCCCAGCCUGGACUGGGUGGGGGCUGUAACAAACCUCAUUUCCCAUCAAGGGAGCCUGAGGCCGUGAAGGUCAACUUAUCCCCCCACCCCCCCGCCCCCAGAGCUCUCGCCAAGAUUCCCAUUCUUAGUCUGCAGUCACCCCAGCCCGAGAGCAGUGCUGCACAUGGGGGUGAGCAGGGAGCUUCAAGAUGACUACGAGUCACAGAGCUGGGGAGAGAGACAGAGCUGGGUGGGCUGGUGGGAGGCAAGAAGAUACUGGGAGAAAGUGAGGCCCUCUCUCGGGGGAGCAGUCAAGACAGGAAUGCCCUCCUCCCGGCCCCACAGGAUGGCCCCAGGGCUCCCAAGCCCCUCCUUGGGGGCUCCCUGAACUCUUGCAUCUAUCCCAUAGGGAGCAAACUUGCUUCCUUCUAUCCCACUCUCUAUCAAACAUAAAUGAUGUAAAAAGGACUUUUUUCCCCCCGAGUCCUGUUAGCGUUCAGAAAUAGAGUUGUUGUACAAGAAUUCUUUCACAAGAAGGAAAUCCUGCCACUUGUGACAACACGGGUGAAUGUGGAGGACAGUGAGAGAAGCCAGGCACAGAAGGACCAAUGCUGUAUGAUCUCACUUAUAUGAAGAAUCUAAAAUAGCCGAGCGCAGAGAAGCAGAGAGUUGAAUGGUGGUUGCCAGGGGCAGGGGGAGGAGGCAGCUGGGAGGAAUUUGUCAAAGGGCACAAAGUUUCAGCUCCGCAGGGUGAGUGAGUCCUAGAGAGCGCCUGCCUAUCGCAGUGCCUGUAGUCAACAGCCCUGCAUUGUGUGCUUCAGAAGUUGCUCAGAGGGUAGAUCUGAUGCUAAGUGUUCUUAGGAAAUAACAAUAUACAUGAUAAAAGAGGGCGUGAAGAAACUUUUGGAGGUGAUGGGUAUGUUUAUGGCCUAGAUGUGGUGACGGUCUCAUAGGUAUAUACUUAUCUCCAAAUUCAUCACAUUGUAUACAUUAAUUAUGUACAGAUUUUGUAUGUCAAUCGUGACUCAAUAAAGUGGUUGAAAAAAAGAAAAUUAAGAACAAAACAAAUUUUUUUUCACAGGAGCUUUUUUUUUCUCUUUGAGCAUAUAUUUUAAAAUAGUCACAUCCUUAACGAAACCUUCCACAGUCUCUGUGGAGCCAGAAUCCCACUGAUCUGACAAGGCUGGCAUAAUAAAAGAACACAUACUGAUUUCAUCUAUGAUAGUCAGCGCAAAAAAAGGGAAGCUAUUAGUAACCAGGGUCCAUCAGCUGUAAAAAUAACCAGUGUAAACAGGGUCACACCAAGAAUGCAAAGAUACAUGCAGCAACCUGGAUGAAUCUUCAGAGAACUGUGUUGAGUGAAAAGAGCCAGUUUCAAAAGGUCCCAUACUGUACAGUUCCAUUUAUAGAGCAUUCUUGUAAAGACAAAAUUAAAGCAAUGCAGAACUGAUUAGUGGUUGCCAGGGGCUAAGGACAAGGUGAAAUGGGAGAGAAGGGAGUGUGGCUAUGAAAGGGGGCUACAUGAGGGACCCUGGGGUGACAGAAGCUCCCCUGUGUCAGCGUCUGUAUCCUGGCAGUGAUCUGGUCCUACAGUUUGCAAAAUGUUACCACUGGUGCAGACUGGGUGAAGGCUACGUGGGAUCUCUCUAUUAUUUCUCACAGCUAGCUGCUGCAUGUGAAUGUACAAUUAUCUCAGAAUGAAAAAUUCAUGAAAAAAAUCACGAUCGCCAAAUUAAAAAAAAGUAGUCUUCCUAAAAAUACCCAAUAAUGAAGAUACAGAAAAUCUAUACGAACAGAGGGCUAAAAAAUACUGAGGGACAUUACAACUGAUUUGAACACAUGGAUAAAUCUCCUAUUUUUGGCUAGAAAGUCAAAAAUAUUGUAAGAAAGAUAAUUCUAAGUUAAUCUAAAUUGAUUGCCGUUUCAAUAGAAACUACUGGCAGAAUAUGGAGGGAGGGACACACACACACACACACACACACACACUUUUUUUUUUUAAAUCAGGCAAGCUGAUUAUAAAAUUUAUGUGAAAAAAAAUCAGCAUGUUGGGCUUCCCUGGUGGCGCAGUGGUUGAGAAUCUGCCUGCUAAUGCAGGGGACACGGGUACGAGCCCUGGUCUGGGAGAAUCCCACAUGCCGCGGAGCAACUAGGCCCGUGAGCCACAACUACUGAGCCUGCGCGUCUGGAACUUGUGCUCCGCAACAAGAGAGGCCGCGACAGUGAGAGGCCCGCGCACCGCGAUGAAGAGUGGCCCCCGCUUGCCAGAACUAGAGAAAGCCCUCGCACAGAAACGAAGACCCCACACAGCAAAAAUAAAUUACUAAAUUAAUAAAUUCCUACCCCCAUCAUCUUCUUAAAAAAAAAAAAAAGCACGUAAUGCAAGUCCUGUACAAUUCUGAAAAAGCGUCUGGAGCUCUUUGGUGCAGCCUGUCCCUCUGUGUUCCAGAAAAGCACCCGGGUUUAAAGAUUACCCAUUGUCCUAAAUAGUCUGAUGAGGGUGCAACUUCACUUUUUUCUGAAGGUGAUUCUACUCAUUCAAACUCCCCUCUCCAUCGACGUUGUCAGGCACCUACCAUGAUAAACAUGAACUGAAUGACUCAUCUUGAGGUAGGGACAUGCAUUUAACCAAUACUAUAUAACCUUACUAUGUGUCAGCACCAUUCUGUGUACUUCACAUUAGUCAUUCAUUUAAUCCUCCCAGUAACCCUCUGCAGUAGGCACUCUUUCUUAUUAUCCCCAUUUUACAGAUGGGGAAACUGAAACUGAGGUUAAAUGACUCAUUCAAGGUCCAGCAGGUAGGAGGGGUGCAGUUAGGAUCUGAACUUGCACUACAGCUCUAGAAUCUGCUCUUAACCACUUCUUUUUUGUUUACAAGUCAGUAAAGGAGAGCACCAAGCAGGAGGUCUGGGGACAGGGGCACAUUCCUCUGGGCUAGUUUCACAAGGAUGAGGCUGGAAAAGCCACAUUGGUACAGGUGGUCUAGAUUAGAUAAGGAAACUGAGUCACUGCUGUCCAAGUCAUGAUGUGAAACCAUUUUGACCUGCGCUGGUUGUAACAGCACUCCAGCUAUAACACUUUACCGUGUCAGUUAUUUUCCUUUCCGGUGGUUGGCCUGGGGAGGGGAGGGGCUGGCUACAUGUUACAGAUUUUUCUUAUUGCCAUUCUUUUCCUUUUUGAAUUAGGCUUAUUUACUUUCUUGAGUUACUGAAUUCAGUUUUCAUAAGAUGCCCUGAAACUGUGAUCAUACAUGAGUAGGAAGUGGCCCCCAGGGUCAGACCCGAGACCCAGGUGCACCCCUUGUCUGGACUCUGCCGUGUGAGUGAGCCCGGAAGAGACCCCUUGUCUGGACUCUGCCGUGUGAGUGAGCCCAGAAGAGACAAGUGCUCCUGUUCCCUGACAGCAUUAGCCACCAAGGCGAGGACUCAGCCCCAAACACUCAGGCUUCCCGUCCAACUCAAGAGCUAAUCCUGUGUCUAGAGUGUUGUGGUCUGAGGCCAUGCCAUGGAUUCCCUGGUUGACUGUACUGUGUGAAAUGCAGCUUCCUCUUAUGAGUAAGAGAGAUGGGGGAAACCUGCUAUACUCACAAGCACAUCAUAAAGUUCAAAAGUCAAAUAACUGAGGCUGGCCCGUCACUAGGCCCAUCAGCCAUCCAUAAGACAAUCUAGAAAUGGACACAUUAAAUGAGAGUUUGAAAUAUGAUAAAGGUAACAACUUAAGUCAGUGGAAAGAAGAUGAUGUAUUCAAAUAAAUAGUGUUGGGGUAACUAGUUAGACACAUAGAAAAUAAAUCGAAUUUAAUGACUCCUUAUGUCCAAAUCUAGAGGGAGCACUAUUUAAAUGUAAAAAGAUGAAGGAUGCCCACUCUCACCACUUGUAUUCAACAUAGUUUUGGAAUUCCUAGCCACAGCAAUCAGAGAAGAAAAAGAAAUAAAAGGAAUCCAAAUUGUAAAAGAAGUAGAACUCUCACUGUUUGCAGAUGACAUGAUGCUAUAUAUAGAAAAUCCUAAAGAUGCUGCCAGAAAACUACUAGAGCUCAUCAGUGAAUUCAGUAAAGUUGCUGGAUACAAAAUUAACAUACAGAAAUCUGUUGCAUUUCUAUACACUAACAACGAAAUAUCAGAAAGAGAAAUUAAGGAAACAAUCCCAUUUACCAUUGCGUUGAAAAGAAUAAAAUACUUAGGGAUAAACCUACCUAAGGAGACAAAAGACCUUUACUCCAAAAACUGUAAGAUGCUGUUGAAAGAAACUGAAGAUGACCCAAACAGAUGGAAAGAUACACUGUGUUCUUGGAUUGGAAGAAUCAAUAGUGUUAAAAAUGACUGUACUACCUAAGGCAAUUUACAGAUUCAGUGCAAUCCCAUUCACAUUACCAAUGACGUUUUUCACAGAACUAGAACAAAAAAUUUUUAAAUUUGUAUGGAAACACAAGACCCUGAAAAGACAAAACGAUCUUGAGAAAGAAGAGCAGAGCUGGAGGAAUGACGCUCCCUGACUUCAGACUAUACUACAAAGCUACAGUAAUCAAAACAGCAUGGCACGGGCACAGAAACAGACAUAUAGAUCAAUGGAACAGGAUAGAAGGCGCAGAAAUAAACCCCCGCACUUAUGGUCAAUUAAUCUACAACAAAGGAGGCAAGAAUAUACAAUGAAGAAAAGACAGUCUCUUCAAUAAAUGGUGCUGGGAAAACUGGACAGCUACAUGUAAAAGAAUGAAAUUAGAACAUUCUUGAACACCAUAUACAAAAAUAAACUCAAAGUGGAUUAAACAUAUAAAUGUAAGACUGGAUACUAUAAAACUCCUAGAGGAAAACAUAGGCAGAACACUCUUUGACAUAAAUAACAGCAAUAUUAUUUUGGAUCUGUCUCAUAGAGUAAUGGAAAUAAAAAUAAACAAACAGGAUCUAAUUAAACUUAAAAGCUUUUGCACAACAAAGGAAAUCAUAAACAAAAUGAAAAGACAGCCUAUGGACUGGGAGGAAAUAUUUGUAAAUGAUGCUACCGACAAGGGAUUAAUUCCCAAAAUACACAAACAACUUAUACAGCUUAAUAUCAAAAAAACCCCAACCCAAUCAAAAAUCGGGCAGAAGACUAGAUAGACAUCUCUCCAAAGAAGACAUACAGAUGGCCAGCAGGCACAUGAAAAGAUGCUCAGUAUCACUAAUUAUUAGAGAAACGCAGUCAAAACUGCAAUGAGGUAUCGCCUCACACCAGUCAGAAUGGCCAUCAUUAAAAAGUCUAUAAAUAAUAAAUGAGGGUAUGGAGAAAAAGGAACCCUCCUACACUGUUGGUGGGAAUGUCAAAUUGGUACAGCUGCUAUGGAGACCAGUAUGGAGGUAACUUAUAAAAGUAAAAAUAGAGUUAACCAUAUGAUCCUGCAAUCCCACUCCUGGGCAUAUAUCCAGAGAAAACGCUAAUUCAAAAAGAUACAUGUGGGCUUCCCUGGUGGCGCAGUGGUUGAGAGUCCACCUGCCGAUGCAGGGGACACGGGUUCGUGCCCCAGUCCGGGAGGAUCCCACACGCCGCGGAGCGGCCGGGCCUGUGAGGCAUGGCCACUGAGCCUGCGCGUCCAGAGCCUGUGCUCCGCAACGGGAGAGGCCACAACAGUGAGAGGCCCGCAUACCGCAAAAAAAAAAAAAAAAAGAUACAUGCACCCCAGUGUUCAUAGCAGCACUAUUUACAAUAGCCAAGACAUGGAACCAACCUAAAUGUCCAUCAACAGAUGAAUGGAUAAAGAAGAUGUGGUGUGUGUAUAUGUAUGUGUGUACAUAUAUAUAUAUGUACACACACACACACAAUACACAAUGGAAUAUUACUCAGCCAUAAAAAAGAAUGAAAUAAUGCCAUUUGCAGCAACAUGGGUGGACCUAGAGAUUACCAUAUUAAGUGAAGUAAGUCAGACAGGAGAGACAGAUAAUCAUAUUCAUAUCACUUAUAUGUGGCAACUAAAAAAAUGAUACAAAUGAACUUAUUUACAAGACAGAAAUAGACUCACAGACAUAGAACACAAACUUACGGUUACCAAAGGGGAGAGUGGGGUGGGGGAGAGAUAAAUUAGAAGUUUGGGAUUAACAUAUACACACUACUAUAUAUAACAUAGGUAGACAACAAGGACCUACUGUAUAGCCCAGAGAACUAUACUCAGCAUCUUGUAAUAACCUAUAAGGGAAAAUAAUCUGAAGAAGAAUAUAUAUAUAUAUGUGUAUGCAUGUAGAUAUAUGUGUGUGUGUGUGUGUGUGUGUGUAACUGAAUCACUUUGCUUUACACUUGAAACUAAUACAUGUAAAUUAACCAUACUUCAAUUAAAACUAUUUUUUAAUGUGAAAAAUAAAGAUGACAGAAGAAAACAUGGGAGAAUUUAUUAAAACAAUCUCAGAAUGAGGCUUUUUUCCAAAAUUUUUCCAAACUUUAAGACAAGGACCUCAAAUCACAAAAGACUGCCAGAGCUGACUGUCAAAAUUUAAAAAUUCUGAAGUCCAACAGGAAAAAAUGGACCAAAAAUUUGAACAGUUUAUGAAAAGAAAAUACAACUGGCUUCUGAAACACAUAAACAAGCUCAACUUUUAAUAAAAUAUAAGAAAUGCAAAACAAAAAACAAAAACAAAAACCCCCCAAACACUCAAAUUUAAAAA